AAGCAAAUGUAGGUAUAAGUAACGAUAAAGGGGGUGAGAAACCCCCUCGCCGAAAGACUAAGGUUUCCUGAUCAACGCUAAUCGGAUCAGGGUUAGUCGGGUCCUAAGGCUCAGCCGAACGGCGAAGUCGAUGGCAGAACAGGUUAAUAUUCCUGUACUACCUUUAGGAGUGAUGUGGAGACGGAGCAGUGAUAGCGCCGCGGACUGACGGAAUAGUCCGUUGAAGGG
rnacentral:rRNA from 1 species